CUGCGAUACUUGCAUUUCAAUGACAAUACCCUCUGUCACCCCAGAGAUCACCCCCAAUAUGAUAGGCUUCACAAAAUACGCCCACUAAUAGACCAUCUGCAGCAAAGAUUUUCUGACGUUUAUACUCCCCAGCAAAAUGUAUCUGUUGAUGAAUCCCUUAUGAAAUAUAAAGGGAGAUUGGGGUUCAAACAGUACAUUCCCUCAAAGCGUGCUAGGUAU